rnacentral:snRNA from 1 species
AAAGAUGAAGAGAGAGAGA